ensembl:lncRNA
GCCAGCACGAGAGAGAAGACGGGAGAAGAAAACAUCGAACUUUCAGCAACUACGUUGUUAGGACAAAUUACAAACAUACGAUUUCAAGUGUUUUUUGAGGAUCUGUGUUUGUUCGUCAGAAAGUCUGCACGCUACUCAGCUACUUUGAAGAGAAGGAGGAGUCCAUGCUUCUCUGUGUUGAAGAUACAUGUCUGGCAGAUGAGGUACAACUGGAGCAAGUGCCUCUGACACCCACUAUUAUCAUGUGUGGUAAGUCUGUUUCAUAGCUCUCUCUCUCUCUUUUUUUUUU